rnacentral:rRNA from 1 species
UUCCGGUUGAUCCUGCCGGAGGCGACCGCUUUGGGAGUUCGAUUAAGCCAUGCGAGUCGUGAGUCUUAGGGACUCGGCAUACUGCUCAGUGACACGUGGAUAACCUGCCCUAUCCUCCGGAAUAACCUCGGGAAACUGAGAAUAAUACCGGAUAGAUCACAACGCCUGGAACGGUGUGUGGUUGAAAGAUUACGGCAUAGGAUGGGUCUGCGGCGUAUCAGGUUGUAGGGGGUGUAAAGGACCUCCUAGCCAUCGACGCGUACGGGUGUUGGGAGACAUAGCCCGGAGAUGGAUUCUGAGACACGAAUCCAGACCCUACGGGGUGCAGCAGGCGCGAAAACUUCACACUGCAGGAAACUGUGAUGAGGGAACUCCAAGUGCACGCACUUAGUGUGUGCUUUUUUCAACUAUUAAUCGGUUGAAGAAUAAGGGCUGGGAAAGACCGGUGCCAGCCGCCGCGGUAAUACCGGCAGCUCAAGUGGUCGUCGCUUUUAUUGGGCCUAAAACGUCCGUAGCCUGUUUGGUAAAUCUGUGGGUAAAUCAACCAGCUUAACUGGUUGAAUUCUGCAGAGACUGCCAGACUAGGGACCGGGAGAGGUGUGGGGUACUCUAGGGGUAGGGGUAAAAUCCUGUCAUCCUUAGAGGACCACCAGUUGCGAAGGCGCCACACUGGAACGGAUCCGACGGUCAGGGACGAAGCCUAGGGGCACGAACCGGAUUAGAUACCCGGGUAGUCCUAGGUGUAAACGCUGUGAACUUGGUGUCGGGGAUCCGUCAUGGGUCCCCGGUGCCGGAGUGAAGAUGUUAAGUUCACUGCCUGGGGAGUACGGUCGCAAGGCUGAAACUUAAAGGAAUUGGCGGGGGAGCACUGCAACGGGAGGAGCGUGCGGUUUAAUUGGAUUCAACGCCGGA